GACGAACGCUGGCGGCGUGCCUAAUACAUGCAAGUCGAGCGCAGGAAAUCGAUGGAACCCUUCGGGGGGAAGUCGACGGAAUGAGCGGCGGACGGGUGAGUAACACGUAAAGAACCUACCCUCAGGUCUGGGAUAACGACGAGAAAUCGGGGCUAAUACCGGAGGGGUCAUCGGACCGCAUUGUCCGAGGAUGAGAGGCGCCUCGGCGUCGCCUCGGGAUGGCUUUGCGGUUCAUUAGCUAGUUGGUGGGGUAAUGGCCCACCAAGGCGACGAUGCAUAGCCGACCUGGGAGGGUGAUCGGCCACACUGGGACUGAGACACGGCCCAGACUCCUACGGGAGGCAGCAGUAGGGAAUCUUCCACAAUGGACGAAAGUCUGAUGGAGCAACGCCGCGUGAACGAUGAAGGCCUUCGGGUCGUAAAGUUCUGUUGUAAGGGAAGAACAAGUGCCGCAGGCAAUGGCGGCACCUUGACGGUACCUUGCGAGAAAGCCACGGCUAACUACGUGCCAGCCGCCGCGGUAA
rnacentral:rRNA from 1 species